CUUCAUUAUCAUCAGAUACCACUUUUAAAUUUUAUAGUAAUUAAUUUCUGUUUUGUUAGUGUCUGUUCUGUGCUAGAAUUUGCAGUAUUGAAGGGUAAGUUAUUAUAUAGGGUGUUGUAUAAGACUCUCUUUCCUAAAUGGUAAAGGUGAAAACACUGAGGUCUGAUAGAUUUAUUUAUAGUAUAUGGUAUAUCUGUAUAUAGUACAAUCUGUAUUAUUUGAUGUUAAAUAUAAGAGGGCUGCUCUGUGACAGCAAGUCUACUUUAUCUGGAAAUAUACACUCUGUUCAAUCACUCAGUUCUAGAAGGUUGUGGUGGGGAGUUUAGGUUGGUGUACUUUGCCUAAUUUUUUGAGACCUUCCAGGCUGUUCAUAUUUGAAUGCAUCAACCAAAUAGCAAUCUGAUUCCAGAGCAAUGAAAACCAUCAUUACCAUGCUCUUAAAAUUUCAGUCUAUGUUGUAAAUUCCUAAUCAGAGGCACUCCUGACUCUCUGGCUAUAUGUGGUAUAGAUUAUCUCAGGAAUAGUUCGGUAUAAAAAUUGUUCAACUCCCUUUGCUUAAAAAAAAGUUUACAAGUUUUACAAGUUUAUAAAAACUUCCUUUGUUUUACAAAAGCUGCAGAUGGUUAUAGAUUUUUAGGUUGUAACAUGUUUCUUUGCCUAGACCUGUAGAGGCACUGAUGUCUGUAGAUUGGUGAAAACUGAAACCUCUUACAUAAUAACUACAUUUACUCAUUUGUUUUUGGCUUUUCCACUUCUGACAUUAGGAUAGCUGUCUCGCAUUUUUCCGGAGCUUUUUGCCUACUAUUUUAUAUCAAAAAAUCAGUUUUAGGACUUUAGAACUAAGUGAACACUCAGCCUGAUUUUUUUUUUUUUUUUUUUCUGAGCAAUGAAAUCCUAUUCAUCUCCAUCCUCUAGAUGUGUUUUAAAAGUCAUGCCCUUAGCUCUUAUCUGUUACUUAAUAAGCCUUCUGUAGCUCGUCCAGAUGUCAUUUGUGAAUGCUGGCAGUUUCAGCAGAGGUUAAUAUCUAUAUGAGAGCUAUUCUUAGCCCAUAGAUCUGUAAAGCCAUGCUGCCAACAGAAAUUUUCUCACCAUGCACAGGAGAGAUCCUGUAAGAGAAAAGAAUGAGCUUCCUUUGAAGAGCUAUGGAAGCACAGUUACAACAAACGUGACGCAUUUGCAAGACUAUACCUUUCAAGAGAAUCCUGUACUGUUUACCUUGACUUGGUGUUUGUUAUUAAUUCAAUUUUUAUUCUACAUGUACAAAAAAAAAUAAAUCAAACUCAUUGGUUGAAUGCUAUCAAAUGUAAGUAAGUCUGGUUUGCUCUUAUUGGCCUGACAGGGCCACAGAAAAGUGAACAGAUAAAGUGCAUA